GCGCACACAGAAUAAAUCUGAGCAGAAAAAAUCUGUAAGCAGCAAUAUAUCUGAGUGCAAGCGUACAGUUUGAGCACAAGCAGAGCACAUCUAAGUGCAAGCAGGCACUAUUUGAGUGUGAGGACAGGGUUUGAGGGAAAUAAAUACAUAAAGUAUGCUCUCAAAUUUAAAUACCACGCUCUUGAAUAAAGAUAGGGAAUAACCCCCAUACAACGGCUGCAGGUGAUGACUGCUGAAAGAAGAGGAGGCUGGAGGCUGCUGACGGUGGACCGGGAAUGGAGAUGCCAAGUACAUCGAUGGCAACGAGUAAGGUGUUUGGCAGUGGCCUAGAUGUUAUGACCUUCGGUGCAGAAGUCUGUUGGGUCUUCUUUGCCUUCUUACUCUGACUCUUGCUGCCAAGAUACCCUUUAUGUUUAUCCUUCCUCUCAGCCCUGAUGCACUUUGAUGCAAUCAUUAACCUCAGCCUGAUGUAUGUUGAGAGGAUUUUUUUCUUCAGGUCAUGGCAUGAGGGAAGGUUGCUGUCCAGCAACAUGGCUUCUUGUUCCAGCUGUGACACUGCAUUUGAGGACUCCAUGAGGGAAUCGCUCCUCCUCACACGGAACAGCUGCUCCACGUUCUGAACAAGGGUGAAAACCUCAUCAGAUGGACGGUAAUCUGGCUCUAAUUUGGUCUGUGUUGAAGAUUUUUUUAAACUUUAGAUUAAUCAAAUUGUUUUUUUUAAAAUGCUGAAUUAAUCCUUUUCCGGUUUACCAGAGCCCUCUCUGUGCUCUCUUUCUUAGUAAUCUCUCCCUUCUCAGUUGCCUCAUUAGAUCCUCCACGUGAGCCCGGUCACAACUGGCCCUUGGCAGUCUGGUCCCUGGAGCACCUGACCCUGGCAAACUGGCCUCUUCAUAGCUGACCCCUGACUGACUGGCUCCUGGCACACUGAUCUCUGGGGAGCCAUACAUCCGGAACCCCUUCUCGGAUCGAUUAGAGCAUCCAAAUGCUGCACAUCCAACCAUGUCUGCUCCCAACUGUAUUCUCUCCCCUUAUUCACCACUGUUCCUAUUCUUGCUCUGCUUUUUAGGGCCCAGGAAACAGAUGAAGAGGAUGUCCCUUUCACAAAGGAACCUUUUUGUUUUUUUCAAAAUGGUUAGGCUCCUGGAUGCCCUAGAGUUCUUUAUUGCUUUUUUGUAAGUAGUAUUGCUUUUUUGUAAAUAGUUGCUUAUCCUAACCCUUUUUUAUAAAUAGUUACUUUUUUGUAAAUAGUUGUUUGUAAAUAUUUGUACAAUUGUUGUUCGCACAAUUAUGCUUCUGUUUUUCACUUUUUGGUGUCCAUUGUUCAGCCACUGUUUGGUAAGCAACAAUUUGUUUUGGCCAAAAUGUGUUAUUCCCACUCCUGACUCCAGUUUGAUGUGCUGCAUUCUCCUCUGAGUGGUCCUGAUUUCAGGCAGAGGUCUUGGCUUGGAAGGUUUUAUAUCCUGUAGUGUCUCAACAGAACCUAAUAUGAAUUGCUUUUUUCAGUUUCUCUUUUUUUUUAUUGUCUCGUCGCUGGAUCACCUCCCCCUGGCAAAGUGGCCUCGUCAUUUUAAUUUGUAUUGUUGACAAACCUGUUUUUGUUGCUCUGUUGAACCAUGGUUCAACAGGAGCUUCUGUAAAUAGUUUUGUAAAUAGUUUGAAUAUUUAUCAUAGUAGUAUAUUUUGCCCCACCAUGUUUUGUUGUCCAAGGGAACUAAUUUGGUCUGUGUUGAUUGUUUUACACUUUAGAUUAAUCAAAAUUGUGUUUUUUGGCUGAAUUAAUCUUUUUCUGUUGAACCCUAACCCUCUUUGUUCUCCUUCUCAUUCAUUUGACUUUGUUUUGUUCUAACACACAUCCCACAUCACAUCACUUUUUCCAUACACUGUUCUUAAUACUUGUUCACACAUUUGUUCGUCCCUUUUACUUUGUUCUUCCUGUUGUUCUUGUUCAAACACAUAUAUCAAUUGUUCAUCCACUAUUGUGGUAAAAUGAUAUUCAUAGUCUUAACAUGAUCAUGCUCAUGCUAACAUGAACACAAGCGUUUCCCUCCAAACAUGUAAAACGUAUCUAAGUAAGGCUACCAAGCUUUCCGUUGUCAUCCUGCCUCUCCAAAUGCAAAACUGUCAAUAAAAAGUAUGCAAUAAUGCAAUUACAGCUGAAAAA